rnacentral:tRNA from 1 species
GGGGUUGUGGCUCAGUGGUAGAGUGCUUGCCUAGCAUGCAUGAGACACUGGGUUCGAUCCUUGGAACCACA